rnacentral:rRNA from 1 species
GACGAACGCUGGCGGCGUGCCUAACACAUGCAAGUCGAACGAGGUCCAAGGAAGCUUGCUUCCUGAAGACCUAGUGGCGAACGGGUGAGUAACACGUGAGAAACCUGCCUCGGAGUGGGGAAUAACUCGGGGAAACUCGAGCUAAUACCGCAUACCUUCACAUGAUCGCAUGGUCGAGUGAAGAAAGAAUUUCGCUCUGAGAGGGUCUCGCGGCCUAUCAGCUUGUUGGUGGGGUAACGGCCUACCAAGGCAACGACGGUAGCUGGUUUGAGAGAACGAUCAGCCACACUGGGACUGAGACACGGCCCAGACUCCUACGGGAGGCAGCAGUGGGGAAUCUUGCGCAAUGGGCGAAAGCCUGACGCAGCAACGCCGCGUGCGGGAUGACGGCCUUCGUGGUUGUAAACCGCUUUCAGCAGGGACGAAAUAGACGGUACCUAGCAGAAGAAGCCCGGCUAACUACGUGCCAGCAG